rnacentral:rRNA from 1 species
GUACUUCGGGGAUAAGCUUGGGAAAUUCCGUCUAAUACCGGAUAGGACCAUGGUUUAGUGUCUCAUGGUGGAAAGAUUUUUUGGUGCAGGAUGAGCUCGCGGCCUAUCAGCUUGUUGGUGGGGUAAUGGCCUACCAAGGCGUCGACGGGUAGCCGGCCUGAGAGGGUGGACGGCCACAUUGGGACUGAGAUACGGCCCAGACUCCUACGGGAGGCAGCAGUGGGGAAUAUUGCACAAUGGGCGCAAGCCUGAUGCAGCGACGCCGCGUGGGGGAUGACGGCCUUCGGGUUGUAAACUCCUUUCGUUAGGGACGAAGCCGCACCUUUUUUGGGUGUGGUGACGGUACCUUUGUUAAGAAGCACCGGCUAACUACGUGCCAGCAGCCGCGGUAAUACGUAGGGUGCGAGCGUUGUCCGGAAUUACUGGGCGUAAAGAGCUCGUAGUGGUUUGUUGCGUCGUCUGUGAAAUUCCGGGGCUUAACUUCGGGGUGGCAGGCGAUACGGGCAUACUAGAGUGCUGUAGGGGAGACUGGAAUUCCUGGUGUACCGGUGGAAUGCGCAGAUAUCAGGAGGAACACCGAUGGCGAAGGCAGGUCUCUGGGCAGUAACUGACGCUGAGGAGC